rnacentral:rRNA from 1 species
UACGAAGGGGGCUAGCGUUGCUCGGAAUUACUGGGCGUAAAGGGAGCGUAGGCGGACAUUUAAGUCAGAGGUGAAAUCCCGGAGCUUAACUUCGGAACUGCCUUUGAUACUGGAUGUCUUGAGUGUGAGAGAGGUAUGUGGAACUCCGAGUGUAGAGGUGAAAUUCGUAGAUAUUCGGAAGAACGCCAGUGGCGAAGGCGACAUACUGGCUCAUUACUGACGCUGAGGCUCGAAAGCGUGGGGAGCAAACAGG